rnacentral:rRNA from 1 species
AUUGAACGCUGGCGGCAGGCCUAACACAUGCAAGUCGAACGAGUGGCGGACGGGUGAGUGAUGUCUGGGAAACUGCCUGAUGGAGGGGGAUAACUACUGGAAACGGUAGCUAAUACCGCAUACCAUAAGAUGAGCCCAGAUGGGAUUAGCUUGUUGGUGGUGUAACGGCUCACCAACGUGACGAUCCCUAGCUGGUAUGAGAGGAUGACAGGCAACACUGGAAAUGAGACAGGGUCCAGACUCCUACGGGAGGCAGCAGGGGGGAAUAUUGCACAAUGGGCGCACGCCUGAUGCAGCCAUGCCGCGUGUAUGAAGAAGGCCUUCGGGUUGUAAAGUAAUUUCAGCUGUGAGGCGUUACCCGCAGAAGAAGCACCGGCGAACACCGUGCCAGCAGCCGCGGUAAUA